rnacentral:rRNA from 1 species
GAUGAACGCUGGCGGCAUGCCUAACUCAUGCAAGUCGGACGAAGGCUUCGGCCUUAGUGGCGCACGGGUGCGUAACGCGUGGGAAUCUGCCCUCAGGUUCGGAAUAACAGCGAGAAAUUGCUGCUAAUACCGGAUGAUAUCGCGAGAUCAAAGAUUUAUCGCCUGAGGAUGAGCCCGCGUAGGAUUAGCUAGUUGGUGUGGUAAAGGCGCACCAAGGCGACGAUCCUUAGCUGGUCUGAGAGGAUGAUCAGCCACACUGGGACUGAGACACGGCCCAGACUCCUACGGGAGGCAGCAGUGGGGAAUAUUGGACAAUGGGCGAAAGCCUGAUCCAGCAAUGCCGCGUGAGUGAUGAAGGCCUUAGGGUUGUAAAGCUCUUUUACCCGGGAUGAUAAUGACAGUACCGGGAGAAUAAGCUCCGGCUAACUCCGUGCCAGCCGCCGCAGUAA